CCUAUCGAGGUUGAUAUUGGCUGGCUGUGAUGAGGAAGUGAUAAGAGAUAUGAUCAUAAACUUCAUCAUGGCAGGAAGGGAUACAACUUCAGCAGCAAUGACAUGGCUCUUCUGGUUGCUUUCAUGCCAUCCAGUUAUAGAGCAAGAACUGCUGAAAGAGAUACAGAGAAAUGAUAAAAGAUUGUCAGAUUAUGAAUCAUUGGAGGGAUUGAAAUUGUUGAAAGCCUCUCUUUGUGAGUCCAUGAGGCUCUACCCGCCGGUAGCUUGGGACUCAAAGCAUGCCAUGGUGGAUGAUAUGUUACCUGAUGGUACUUUAGUCCAGGCAGGGGAUAGGGUAACCUAUUUUCCCUAUGGAAUGGGGAGGAUGGAAGCGUUAUGGGGGAAGGACUGCAUCGAGUUCAGACCGAGCCGGUGGUUUAUUGAACCAAGUCACCAGGGAGGAUCA
rnacentral:lncRNA from 1 species